UUCAGUGCAAACAGGACGCUUAGACAUUUAAAAAGCGCUGUGCAUUAUUUUUUUACAAUUGAAUAUAAGACAAUCCGUGCAUUUUUUUUGUUGUAAAAAUGUUUAGUGGCACCGGCCACUGUGGAGUGAAGGGGAUGUUGGUAACCGGACCUCAGCCUGGCUCAGCUGCUCUGAAUAACGUUGCCCAUUUCGCCUGAAGGCUUGACUAAAGUAAAAAUGAAAGCAGUGCAGCACCAACCGCUGCUUCUUUGUUCCAGUUGAGUUAUCCAACGUGUACCUCAUUUCUAGAUGGAUCUUCCUUCAAAGCAUCACCUCCAUAUGGAAUAAUGCGAUGGCUGCUUAACUAAAGACCACUUAUCUCACACAUCGCAACUGUGGUGAUGCAGGAAACCCAACCCAUCUGGCACUCUGAAAACCUCUUCGUCUGAAGCAGAAGAAGGAAGAAGGAAGAAGAAAAUAUGAUGGCCGUCGGUGAAGGAACUGCUUGAAACUUAAAUGGAGACAGUUCGUGGGAAUUGUGAUAAUAUAUUUUCCGCAACAAAUGAUGGGCAUCCAGUAAAGAAAUGUGUUCUUAGGUCAGUGUUUAAAGAGUUUCACAUCCACUAUUUCAAGUGUUUCCGGUCUACAGUUAACCAACCUCAGGACACAAGCUCGUCAACAUAUCUUUAUUUUCAGAGAUAAAUAACUACAAAAAGGGUUAAUGAAGAAAUAAUUCAGCUUUUUUUUUCAUCCAUCGAUGUUCACUUGACCUGAUAUUUUGAUUGGACUUAAUAGUGAUAGGACAAACAACCUGACCUCUAUGGGAUUAGUAUAUUAUUUUCUUUUUAUUUAGCCAGAAAGUUAGCCACUGAGUCAACGCAGUUUAACAGUAAAUAUGUGUUUUUCAAAAAACACUUUCAAUCAAGAGGAUGCUUUGUGUUGGAGUUACUGUAUGGUUUGAUCACAAAGGCUCUAUCAUUUAAUGAAGUGUACUGUGUGCUGCUAUUAUAAAUAUUUGAUAAUAAACUAUACAUUUCUGAAGUGA